GCAGAGUGGACGAUCGCGGCUGCAGGUCCCGAAAGGGCGCAGGUGAGGAAAGUCCGGGCUUCGUAGGGCAGGAUGCCGGUUAACGGCCGGCGGAGGCAACUCCCGGGAAAGUGCAGCAGAGAGCAGACCGCCCCGCAAGGGGUAAGGGUGAAAGGGCAGUGUAAGAGACUACCGGUCCGGUGGCAACACAGGGCGCAUUGUAAACCCCAUCCGAAGCAAGACCGAGCAGAGGACAACAGGACGGCCCGUCCACGUCCUCAGGUGGGUCGCUUGAAACACGCGGCAACGCGGGUUCUAGAUAGAUGAUCGUCUUAAAAGACAUAACCCGGCUUACAGCUCUGCUCAU
rnacentral:RNase_P_RNA from 1 species